AGAGUUUGAUCAUGGCUCAGAUUGAACGCUGGCGGCAGGCCUAACACAUGCAAGUCGAACGGUAACAGGAAGCAGCUUGCUGCUUUGCUGACGAGUGGCGGACGGGUGAGUAAUGUCUGGGAAACUGCCUGAUGGAGGGGGAUAACUACUGGAAACGGUGGCUAAUACCGCAUAACGUCGCAAGACCAAAGAGGGGGACCUUCGGGCCUCUUGCCAUCAGAUGUGCCCAGAUGGGAUUAGCUAGUUGGUGAGGUAACGGCUCACCAAGGCGACGAUCCCUAGCUGGUCUGAGAGGAUGACCAGCCACACUGGAACUGAGACACGGUCCAGACUCCUACGGGAGGCAGCAGUGGGGAAUAUUGCACAAUGGGCGCAAGCCUGAUGCAGCCAUGCCGCGUGUAUGAAGAAGGCCUUCGGGUUGUAAAGUACUUUCAGCGGGGAGGAAGGUGUUGUGGUUAAUAACCGCAGCAAUUGACGUUACCCGCAGAAGAAGCACCGGCUAACUCCGUGCCAGCAGCCGCGGUAAUACGGAGGGUGCAAGCGUUAAUCGGAAUUACUGGGCGUAAAGCGCACGCAGGCGGUCUGUCAAGUCGGAUGUGAAAUCCCCGGGCUCAACCUGGGAACUGCAUUCGAAACUGGCAGGCUUGAGUCUUGUAGAGGGGGGUAGAAUUCCAGGUGUAGCGGUGAAAUGCGUAGAGAUCUGGAGGAAUACCGGUGGCGAAGGCGGCCCCCUGGACAAAGACUGACGCUCAGGUGCGAAAGCGUGGGGAGCAAACAGGAUUAGAUACCCUGGUAGUCCACGCCGUAAACGAUGUCUACUUGGAGGUUGUGCCCUUGAGGCGUGGCUUCCGGAGCUAACGCGUUAAGUAGACCGCCUGGGGAGUACGGCCGCAAGGUUAAAACUCAAAUGAAUUGACGGGGGCCCGCACAAGCGGUGGAGCAUGUGGUUUAAUUCGAUGCAACGCGAAGAACCUUACCUGGUCUUGACAUCCACAGAACUUUCCAGAGAUGGACUGGUGCCUUCGGGAACUGUGAGACAGGUGCUGCAUGGCUGUCGUCAGCUCGUGUUGUGAAAUGUUGGGUUAAGUCCCGCAACGAGCGCAACCCUUAUCCUUUGUUGCCAGCGGUUAGGCCGGGAACUCAAAGGAGACUGCCAGUGAUAAACUGGAGGAAGGUGGGGAUGACGUCAAGUCAUCAUGGCCCUUACGACCAGGGCUACACACGUGCUACAAUGGCGCAUACAAAGAGAAGCGACCUCGCGAGAGCAAGCGGACCUCAUAAAGUGCGUCGUAGUCCGGAUUGGAGUCUGCAACUCGACUCCAUGAAGUCGGAAUCGCUAGUAAUCGUGGAUCAGAAUGCCACGGUGAAUACGUUCCCGGGCCUUGUACACACCGCCCGUCACACCAUGGGAGUGGGUUGCAAAAGAAGUAGGUAGCUUAACCUUCGGGAGGGCGCUUACCACUUUGUGAUUCAUGACUGGGGUGAAGUCGUAACAAGGUAACCGUAGGGGAACCUGCGGUUGGAUCACCU
rnacentral:rRNA from 2 species